rnacentral:rRNA from 1 species
GACGAACGCUGGCGGCGUGCCUAAUACAUGCAAGUAGAACGCACAGUUUAUACCGUAGCUUGCUACACCAUAGACUGUGAGUUGCGAACGGGUGAGUAACGCGUAGGUAACCUGCCUGGUAGCGGGGGAUAACUAUUGGAAACGAUAGCUAAUACCGCAUAAUAUUGAUUAUUGCAUGAUAAUUGAUUGAAAGAUGCUAUUGCAUCACUACCAGAUGGACCUGCGUUGUAUUAGCUAGUAGGUGAGGUAACGGCUCACCUAGGCGACGAUACAUAGACGACCUGAGAGGGUGAUCGGCAACACUGGGACGGGAACACGGCCCGGAAUCCUACGGGAGGCAGCAGUAGGGAAUCUUCGGCAAUGGACGAAAGUCUGACCGAGCAACGCCGCGUGAGUGCAGAAGGUUGUCGGGUCGUAAAGCUCUGUUGUAAGAGAAGAACGGGUGUGAGAGUGGAAAGUUCACACUGUGACGGUAUCUUACCAGAAAGGGACGGCUAACUACGUG